rnacentral:rRNA from 1 species
CAGCAGCCGCGGGAAUACGGAGGGUGCAAGCGUUAAUCGGAAUUACUGGGCGUAAAGCGCACGCAGGCGGUUUGUUAAGUCAGAUGUGAAAUCCCCGAGCUUAACUUGGGAACUGCAUUUGAAACUAGCAAGCUAGAGUCUUGUAGAGGGGGGUAGAAUUCCAGGUGUAGCGGUGAAAUGCGUAGAGAUCUGGAGGAAUACCGGUGGCGAAGGCGGCCCCCUGGACAAAGACUGACGCUCAGGCGCGAAAGCGUGGGGAGCAAACAGGAUUAGAUACCCCGGUAGUCCCUGUCUCUUAUAA